rnacentral:rRNA from 1 species
AUUGAACGCUGGCUGCAGGCCUAACACAUGCAAGUCGAACGAGUGGCGGACGGGUGAGUACUGUCUGGGAAACUGCCUGAUGGAGUGGGAUAACUACUGGAAACGGUAGCUAAUACCGCAUACCAUCGGAUGUUCCCAGAUGGGAUUAGCUAGUAGGUAGGGUAACGGCUCACCUAGGCCACGCUCCCUAGCUGGUCUUAGAGGAUGACCAGCCACACUGGAACUGAGACACGGUACAGACUCCUACGGGAGGCAGCAGUGGGGAAUAUUGCACAAUGGGCGCAAGCCUGAUGCAGCCAUGCCGCGUGUGUGAAGAAGGCCUUCGGGUUGUAAAGCAAUUUCAGCGGGGAGGCGUUACCCGCAGAAGAAGCACCGGCUAACUCCGUGCCAGCAGCCGCGGUAAUAC